AAUGCACUGGCGGCAGCCUUACACAUGCAGUCGAACGGCAGCACGGGGGCAACCCUGGUGGCGAGUGGCGAACGGGUGAGUAACAUAUCGGAACGUGCCCUGGAGUGGGGGAUAACUAGUCGAAAGACUAGCUAAUACCGCAUACGAUCUACGGAUGAAAGUGGGGGAUCGCAAGACCUCAUGCUCGUGGAGCGGCCGAUAUCUGAUUAGCUAGUUGGUGGGGUAAAGGCCUACCAAGGCAUCGAUCAGUAGCUGGUCUGAGAGGACGACCAGCCACACUGGGACUGAGACACGGCCCAGACUCCUACGGGAGGCAGCAGUGGGGAAUUUUGGACAAUGGGCGCAAGCCUGAUCCAGCAAUGCCGCGUGAGUGAAGAAGGCCUUCGGGUUGUAAAGCUCUUUUGUCAGGGAAGAAACGGUUCGGGCCAAUACCCUGGGCUAAUGACGGUACCUGAAGAAUAAGCACCGGCUAACUACGCGCCGGCAGCCGCGGUAAU
rnacentral:rRNA from 1 species